CUACGGGUGGCUCCAGUAGGGAAUAUUGCACCAUGGGCGAAAGCCUGAUGCAGCAACGCCGCGUGAGCGAUGAAGGCCCUCGGGUCGUAAAGCUCUUUUCAAGGGGAAGAGGAAGGACGGUACCCUUGGAAUAAGUCUCGGCUAACUACGUGCCAGCAGCCGCGGUAAAACGUAGGAGGCGAGCGUUAUCCGGAUUUACUGGGCGUAAAGCGCGUGUAGGCGGUACGGAAAGUUGGAUGUGAAAGCUCCUGGCUUAACUGGGAGAGGUCGUUCAAAACUUCCGAACUAGAGUAUGGUAGAGGAAAAUGGAAUUCCGGGUGUAGUGGUGAAAUGCGUAGAUAUCCGGAGGAACACCAGAGGCGAAAGCGAUUUUCUAGGCCAAAACUGACGCUCAGACGCGAAAGCUAGGGUAGCAAACGGGAUUAGAUACCCCCGUAGUC
rnacentral:rRNA from 1 species